GUCUUUUUGAUAAUUAUUUAAGGUCUGGCCUGCUCAAUGAAUGUUUAAAUAGCCGCAGUAUUUUGACUGUGCAAAGGUAGCAUAAUCAUUAGUUUUUUAAUUGAAAGCUGGAAUGAAGGGUUGGAUGAGAAAGUUUCUGUCUCACUUUAAUUUUAUUUGAAUUUUAUUUUUAAGUUAAAAAGCUUAGAUUUUAUAAAAAGACGAGAAGACCCUAUAGAGUUUAAUAGGUUUAGAUUUUUAUCAUUUUAGGAUUUUAUAUAGAUUGAUUUUUAACUUAUUUUGUUGGGGUGAUAUAAGAAUUGAGUUAACUUCUUUUUAUAGGAACAUUGAUUAAUGAGUAAUGGAUCCUUAGAUUUGGAUUGAAAGAAUAAAUUACCUUAGGGAUAACAGCGUAAUUCUUUUGGAGAGUUCUAAUCGAUAAAAGGGAUUGCGACCUCGAUGUUGGAUUAAAGUUUAAUUUUGGUGUAGAAGCUAUAAUUUUGAGUCUGUUCGACUCUUAAAACUUU
rnacentral:rRNA from 1 species